GGCAUAGUGGCUCAGUAGUUAGAGCGCCUGCCUCAUGAACGGGAGGUCAUGGGGUCGAACCCCGGCCGAGUCA
rfam:Strongylocentrotus purpuratus Contig64811_fixed, whole genome shotgun sequence.